UGGCGGAGCGGGAGAUCCCAGUGACUGGUGUGGGACUCGGUGGAGAGAGGUGUGACAGAAUUGGCAUCCCGAGUUACCAGAUUAAACUUGCCACUGCGAAAGUUCUUGAGGGAGGAGACCUUGAGCUUCCAGAGAUCCGGGACAAGGGAGACAACCUGAUAUUGGAUCUCUACAGUAUCCAGGCUGCAUACGGAUGCCGUUGUCUGUGAAACUGGUUCUUCGUCUAGUUUUGGUUUGGCUUGCUAGCUUUCCUUGAAAUGAAAUUGAGAAAGGAAUAGCAGGCCCGGCGCACGAUAGCAGCAUUGGGGUGAGCGCGUGAGUACACGCAACACACCAUGUGAUCCGGGCCAUUGCCCCAGAACUUCAGCGCGAUCACAAAUCGGCAUGAUGGCAACGCGAAAUACUCCUCGCAUCUGCAGAGAACAAGCGCGAUCACAAAUGGCACAACGGCAACACGAAAUCCUCUGCACCUGCGGAAAACGCCCUGAAGCGACUAACUUGUGGCAACUUCCACAAAGCCAGAUGGAGCAUCAACAGUACCAUCCGGCUGCUGCAUGCGGAUCGUGACGUCGGGUUCCCUCCUCACGUUUGGUGCAAGAUACGCGACGAUCAAGAAGACACACUAGCUUCCAUAGCCGGAGCGUGAAGGAAGCGAAUCCCAAUUACAUUCUGCCAUCUGUAAAGUACCGUAAAAGACCAGGUCAAGAAAGGUCAAAACUUCUUCCCGCCACGAUCGCUAGAGCUUGGAGCUUAGGGCUAAGAGAUUGUAGAUUCGCUGCUGCUGCAUUUUUUGUCCAACGCAGUAAGUAAAGAUCUCUGUUAGAAAUGGAGAAAGUGAUCGGUACUUAGUUUCUUCGCCAUUGCUGAGAGAACAUCUGAGAAUUCGAUUCAUGGUCUUCGCCUUUGAAGGAUCAGUGAUGUCACAAUUCCGACUACGUUUCGAGGUUCUUGGAAGGUGCGCCACUUCAUCACAACAGUUCUGGGGUCGUUCUUCCAUCAAACAGAGCAAGCAAGGAGCGAUUCGCAGUGGCGAGGAGCGAGCAAAUGGAAGCGUACAGUCAGUUCUGGAGCCUCACACUGGGAUUUGCAGCGCACAGUGAAGCUCGACAUCGUCAACAGAUAUCCUGUCCAAGUUCUUCUCCGGAAGCCCAAGGUCUCCUCCCCCGAGAACUUUGGCAGUGGCAAGCUUAAUCUGAUAACUCGGGAUGCCAAUUCUGUCACAGCUCUCUCCACCAAGUCCCACACCAGUCACUGGGAUCUCCCGCUCCGCCAAGAAAGCCAGAGUCUCCGGGAACAGCACCUCCUCUCCAAAAGACACAGCGUUAGCACUCGUAGCCACGGCACCACCAUCACCGCCACCACCGCCGACGAUCUCGUAGACCACGGCCACAGAUGUAUGAGCUCGGGACAAACGAGAUAAUGUCGGCUGCGAGAUUGCCGAGAACGAUAUAUAGAUAUCUACUCUUUGAUUUAGACCAGACUACUACUUACUGCUCCGUUCUUCCCUGGAUUCGAUGUGGGAGCACCAAUUUGAUACGCAGAGGAUCGUGGGCUUUAAUGCUGGAGAUCAGCCCUGCACAGCUCAAGGAAUGCCACUGUAUCAAGUACGUAUUCCCGCAAAUUGGAUCUUUGGCAAUCAACCUGUCCCUCCCCAAGCUCAAGCCGUGUAUCACAUCGACCUCUACCUUGUUCAACGCGCGUUUCACGAGCAAAUAGGAAAGGCCGAGCCUUUCUUGUUUCGUGCUACUAGGGUUUAGGUAAGUUUUCUACCAAGAGCACGUUGAGGAUUUCUACCAAGAACCAGCGCUCGGCCGGGUCACAAGGGAUCCAACCGAGUGGUGAGAUUGUCCCUGGGUGCCAGCCAUCGAUCAGUGUUUCCAGGGCCGCCCCGGAUCUAACUCUUGUAACCAAAAGGCUUGAGAGUGCAGGUUGCGUGCUUCACAGAAACAUAUUCCGUUAGAAAAGCUACCAAAACUAGACGACCUCAUAGUGCGGGGUAAAACUUGAGGUACUCGAGCCCGGAUCCUGAAAAUACGGGCUUUGGAGAAGGUGCUCCGGAGCCUGAUCUGCUACUGCGACUUGGGACUGGCACUGUCCUCGGCCACGAGAGGAACUUGUCCAUCUUCCACGGAAGCCAAUCUUGCUCUCCGUGGUACCUAGUCAGUCAUAAGUAAAUUACUGGUGUUGUAACUUUCGGAGCUGGAACAGCCUUGACGUGCCGGGACGUGUAGUCUCGCAAGAUCGAUAUCUCUUCGGUAGUGAACCUCGUGGCAAAAUGGCAAAGUUAAUCUCGGUGGCUCGCACUAAUUGAUUUAAUUCCAGCAUUGCACUGCGGAACACAAAAGGCAAAAGUAAUCUUCUUUAUCAACUGCAAAAGCUUACGCACGUUUCAAUGUCAAGUUUUAGCUUCAGCCCUCGCAUGUUCUCCAACAAGAAAACUUUAAAGUGGAUGUGUCAACUCCUCAUAUCUGCAAACAGAGAACAGUGAAGAAGCAGCCACAACUUUAAACCAGACCUGCUCAUCAUUAUCUCCAUCAUUUGCGCUGUUCCAUCGCUAGGAAGAGGACUACCACUUGUUGGCUCAGGAAAUGCCUUCAACAUCCUGAAGAGACAUGAGAACAGAUAAAGAAAAACACAAAUAGUGGAAAAAAGAACUUCAAGGAACCUGCUCAAAGAUUCUGCAGUUAAUCGAACGUCUCCUACUUCUGCUGACGCUUUCGAAAUGUUUCGAAGAGGUCAUCCCUGAUAGACAAGAGCUGAAAACGUUAGUGUCUGAUAUUAAUCACGAGCAAAAUUUACCAGUUCCUCAACGUGCUCUUGGUAGAAAUCUUUUAUGGCCUCUGCACCUUGUCGGAUCCAGUUCAAAGUCGUCACUACCAGCCAGCCGGGUAUUCUUAUUGGGCCUCUCAUACAAAGGCAACUGCAGUCACUUAAGCUAGUCAGAAAGUACAAGUUCUUACAUGCACUCUUUGAUGUUGCUGAGAUUUGCACGUAAGCACCAAACGACCCAUCUCAAUUUCUUCGUCCAUCCAAUCUCGUUUGGACAUGAUUUCUUUUGGUACUUAAGUGACAUACAGGCGGGCCUUCACGUCGUAGUAAACAUUCUAUACACGAAAAACAAAUUAAACCAUGGAUUGAUUAGCACGACUCUACUUACAGGAGGUAAAGCGUAAUUUCUUUGAGUUGCAUCGUAGACACUUGUCGAAGCAGCCCUGAUCAGAAAUGCAGGAAACAUGAAAAAGAACUUUUCUUGACAGAGUGCAAUACCUGAGUCAGCAGUACUGCAAGCUGCUCCUGAAUGAUUCCAAGCAUCGUUAUGCUCUCGGUAAUUCGACACGACGCAUCAUACACCAGCUUUUGAGUCGCAGAGCUUUCGGAGAUUAAGGCACGAAUCAUGCAGGCCAAGCCUUCCACAAAGGCGUGAGGACCUCUCUCCAGACCAUGAAUCGAAUUCUCAUCAUGUCAGCUCCCUGUGACAAAAUUCCUAUUGACCGCAGGAACAUAAAGAAGAAAAACAAGGAGCAAACCUGAGAUCGAUGCUCACGGAGGCCAGGAAGAAGGUAGCAGCACUCAUUCUUCCUUCUCGCAAAGUCAAUGCCGACUCAGCAGCGCCUCAGUCACGAAGCCCCAAACCCUAGGGUUUUAACGUCUCAAGAUAGAUGGAAGAGAGCUCCAUGGCCGGAGAUUGUAGAUGCCAGACCCACGCGGAUUGUGGCAAUUUGGCAACGGCAAAUUGCUUGGGGCUCUGCCGCAUAUUCUUGGAAUCAAGAGCCAUUUACAUUCUUCGAGUGUUUUUGGAGAAGCCAUCUACCAGGUAGAAAUAGAAGCCUAUCUCUCGACUGAUUUUACUUCCAUCGCAAAAUGCCGCUUUCUUACAAUCAAUUACAUUACGACUAUGUUUCGAUUGUCGUCUCGCCAUCUUAGCUCCGGCCAGCCUUGUUUUUGUAUUCCAUUCGCAACAUAGAAAAGAUUUUAUCGCUAGAACAUUAGAUUUGGGUAAGCUUCCAGUUUUUGAUAUUAAGUUCCUAUACACUUUGAGAUCAUUGUUUCAUUGACAACAAUUAUAUGCUGUAUUUGUUGAAUAUGUGCUCAAUACUUCGACAAUGUUAUGAAUGUGAUUUUCAAAGUUUUAAUUUCGAGUACAAGGAUAAUACUCGUCAAUCAAUGUUUAAUUGCCUCAGUGAUGGAGAAAGGAUCUGCUUCAAAGAAUCUCACGCUUCCGAAUCCACAUGAUUCCAGCAAAUUUUUCCAUCCAGCUUUCGUUCUCUGGUACCGCUGGCUCCCCGACAAGAACAUCAUAUCAAGCUGCAAGUGUAACUCCUUGCCUUCGUCCAUGACCAUGUCACAAAUGAUGAUUUUCCCAUCUGAUUCGAGGGCCGAGUGACAGUUCUUGACGAUCUUUGCCGCAUCAGCAUCCGCAAACAUGUGUAAGAAACUCUGCGCUCAAACACAUCUGAUGUAAGAUAGAAAAGAAACUAAUGCCCUCACUUUCAAGAAAAUGCCAUCCCCAGGUGGAACGAAGUCCAUAGCGUCUCCGGGAACGUUUUCCACGCCUGAUAGAAUUUUCAGCAAGAUCCAAGAAGAACUACAGAUCAUUACAAACUCGUACCUGGAUAUGCUGGAGCAUUUGAAAUGACCCGAGGAAGAUCGAAGUUCACAGCCUGGAUAUGCGGGUAGAGCCGCACAAUCUGAGCCAGAAACGAGCCCGUGUCACCCCCAACGUCGACAAGCCUCUUGACGCUCUUGAAACCAUCGUAGACUCGCGUAAUAGUAGCAAACGUUGCCGUGCUUACACUCAGCCUGAUAACUUUCCAAAACUCUGGAUGCGCUGCCACAUAGUCCUGAGGUUCCAUUCCAUGAGCUUCCACAAAAGCAUUGGAGUCGCCCGGCCGCUUGAUGGCAGCAUCUACAUGUUGCCACGAAAGCUGAGUGACUUCGGACGUGCAGAAGGAGAGAAUGCCCCCCACGAAGACGUCACUGCUAGAGCCGUGGCUGACCAGCAGCCUGGACAUGGGAGUGAGGCCAUAGCGAUCUCCGUUGAGAGCGAGCACCUUCUUGAAGACGAGAAACCUGAGGAGUCGGAACAGCCUCUCGGCCUGGAUGCUAUCUGCAUCGUGCUUGAUCCGUAGCUCCUGAAUGAUCUCGUCCAGAGUGGCUCCUUGCUCCGACGAGAACUUGGACACGAUGUUGAAGAUGUCGAGCUUGACUGCGGCCUUGAGAGCGAAGGGCGCUGCAAAUCCCAGUGUGAGGCUCCAGAACUGACUAUAUGCUUCCAUUUGCUCGCUCGUCGCCAUUGCGAAUCGCUGCUUGGUUGCUCUGUCUGAUGGAAGAACGACCCCACCCUCGUUUCUUAUAGGUGAUGCAGUGUCGACAUGAUCUCUUCUUUUGAAGAGCGGGAACUUGUCGCGGAGCUGCGGCCGCACCUUCCAAGAACCUCAAACAUUUGGAGAAUAGUAGUCUCUUGGUUCACGAGAUCUCAGCGUGACGACCUCUCUCGAAACCAUGAAUCGAAUUCUUACCAUAGUUCCCUGCGACAAUUUUCUCAGCAAUCGUGGGGAAGCGGAAGGAAGAGAUACCUGCCUAACGUAGCAGCUCCAUCGAAAUAUCUCGAAAGCGGUACGACCACUCUCAAUCGUGGCGGGAGGAAGAGAUACCAGUUUUAAUGUAGCCAUCGAAAUAUCUUCCAUAACGGCACCGAUCGAGUCUCUCAAUCGCUAGAAAUUUCACUUUCCUGUGCUGGAGGAGGCCAAAGACGACAGCAGAUCCAUCCUCUGAUCAGCGCCCGGCAUCUGGCCUGGAUCGCGUUGCCGCUCUCAAGAAUGCUAGGGUUGGUAGUCGGUUACGAGUCUUUUGAAUUACCAACUUGAACUCGCCACCGCAAAAGUUCUUGAGGGAGGAGACCUUGGGCUUCCAGAGAUCCGGGACAAGGGAGACAACCUGAUACUGGAUCUCUACAUUAUCCAGGCUGCAUAUGGAUGCCGUUGUCUGUGAAAGUGAUUCUUCUUCUAGUUUUGGUUUCGCUUGC
rnacentral:lncRNA from 1 species